rnacentral:rRNA from 1 species
UACAUAGGUCUCGAGCGUUGUCCGGAUUUAUUGGGCGUAAAGAGCGUGUAGGCGGUUAGGUAGGUCCGUUGUGAAAACUCGAGGCUCAACCUCGAGACGCCGAUGGAAACCAUCUAACUAGAGUCCGGAAGAGGAGAGUGGAAUUCCUGGUGUAGCGGUGAAAUGCGCAGAUAUCAGGAAGAACACCCGUGGCUAAGGCGGCUCUCUAGUACGGUACUGACGCUGAGACGCGAAAGCGUGGGGAGCGAACAGG